AUCUGGUUGGCCACUGUGAGAAUGGGACACUGGACUGGAUGGGCCGUUGGCCUGAUCCAACAGGUUAUUCUUACGUUCUCCACUCUCAUGAGAAAAUGCAGGCCUAUUCCUCAAAGACAAAGCUGCAGCUAGGGCCUGAUUAUUUGGAUAAGCAUUACAUCUCUUUUUCAGCAUUCUCGCCCUCAGAGCCUAAAAUACUCAUCCGUCACUUGAAGUCCAUAAUUUCCCCUGCUGAUCUGCUUGAAUAUAGCAGUUAUGCCAAGACCAAAGAAGGAGCACACAAUUCAUCACUAGAAAGAAGAAAACUGAUCCACGUCUCCUAAUUCUCCUGGAAGCAGCAUACCAUGUGGCACACCAGGUGAGCAAAAGCAUUCCAGGCCAAGGUCGUCGCUUGAGCAUCCAGGAAGAAGCCUAGAUCUGGAAACACUGCCCAAGCUGCACACCUGAUCCUUCAGAUUACAACCCCACCCAGAAGAGGUUGGACCCUCAAUCUCAUAUCACAGUGGCGGACUUUGGGAUCUUAAAUUUCAGUGGUGCCCUUUGUGACACUAAAAUUUGUCACCGCCUGCCUUCCACACCCCAUUCUUUUUUUAAAAAUUUUUUUUUAUUAACCGACCAAUCAAAUCAAAUCAAAU